AAACGGAGGAAGUGGGGAUGACGUCAAAUCAUCAUGCCCUUAUGUUCUGGGCUACACACGUGCUACAAUGGCCGGUACAGACGGAGGCGAAGCCGCGAGCGGAGCAAACCGAAAAAGCCGGUCUCAGUUCGGAUUGCAGGCUGCAAUUCGCCUGCAUGAAGUCGGAAUCGCUAGUAAUCGCAGGUCAGCAUACUGCGGUGAAUACGUUCCCGGGCCUU
rnacentral:rRNA from 1 species